rnacentral:rRNA from 1 species
GAUGGACGCUGGCGGCGUGCCUAAUACAUGCAAGUCGAGCGAACGGACGAGAAGCUUGCUUCUCUGAUGUUAGCGGCGGACGGGUGAGUAACACGUGGAUAACCUACCUAUAAGACUGGGAUAACUUCGGGAAACCGGAGCUAAUACCGGAUAAUAUUUUGAACCGCAUGGUUCAAAAGUGAAAGACGGUCUUGCUGUCACUUAUAGAUGGAUCCGCGCUGCAUUAGCUAGUUGGUAAGGUAACGGCUUACCAAGGCAACGAUGCAUAGCCGACCUGAGAGGGUGAUCGGCCACACUGGAACUGAGACACGGUCCAGACUCCUACGGGAGGCAGCAGUAGGGAAUCUUCCGCAAUGGGCGAAAGCCUGACGGAGCAACGCCGCGUGAGUGAUGAAGGUCUUCGGAUCGUAAAACUCUGUUAUUAGGGAAGAACAUAUGUGUAAGUAACUGUGCAUAUCUUGACGGUACCUAAUCAGAAAGCCACGGCUAACUACGUG